rnacentral:tRNA from 2 species
GCAGAUGUAGUUCAAUGGUAGAACGCCACCUUGCCAAGGUGGACACGGCGGUUCAAUUCCGCUCAUCUGCUCCA